ACCGCAUUAUAUAUUAAAAAAAAAUUGAUAAAGUUAUAUGUGAAAAUCGGUCAUAAUCGAUAAUACAAAGUAGAAUUAUAGUAUCAUUUAACAUUCAAAUAUGGCGAAUAUUGGUAGCCAUGUUUGUAAAGGCAAUCACUAAAGCAUGAGCAAACGUGAGUCAGUUUAUGCAAUAAAGAUGGGAGAAGUGUGGUGAGAUAUUAUUUGCUUUAUACGUACGACCAAUUGAAGGAACGUACGAUUGAAGUUUGUUGUUUUCUAUAUUAACGUUAUAUUUCUAUAGAUUUUAAUAGAAAAAUAUUUCAUAAACGUGUAAUUAUAAAUUUAACGUGUGUUAUACAGUUUUAGAUUGACGCGUAAUUAACCUUACUUUUUCAUCGUAAGAUAAGUUUUUCUUGCUAGUAAUCUUUUCUGAUAACUACGAAUGGACUCCUCUAAUUAUCUACGUUUUGAGGGUAAGUUUAAGAAUGGCUAGUGACUUAUCGAGUGGUUGUAAUGAAGCUAUAGAAGUUUUGGAUGAGAGAGAAGAAGGCGAAAUAUCUUUGGAAGAUGUAAGUUCCUCCGAAGAAGGACAUCUCGGUUACGGAUAUGGGAAUAAAACUGGAAGAUGUAUUAAUUGUCUUUCCACUCAACAUUGUACGUCCUGGUGUACUUCUACUAAAUAUUAUCAUCCCAAAAGUUCAAAUAGAAAAGAUACAGUUCAAGAAAAGGAAAAUCGUCAUUAUAUGAAAGAUUCAGGAUCUACAGGAGUCAAACAUACUGCUUCUAAGUUACAAGAAAAGAAUGACGAUCUUGUACCUAUUUCUAGUGAUAGUGAUAUGGAGAUUGUUGGUCUUACGGAUAAUUCUAAACAGAUACGCUCUUUGUCAAGAUCAAGAAGUAAGAAAAAGAAAAAGAAGAAAAGAACCCAUGGAUCUGGUAUCAAUGUUGAUGAUUUUGUUUCUUCUUCUUCUAUCGAUAUAACUACGGAAGAAACUACCUUAAAACAUAAUAAUGACAAUUCUAAAGGAGAUCGUUUGUCUAGAUCUCAUCGUAGAGAUUUAAGUCCAUUGCAUAGGAAUAUUAGAUCAAGAUUAACUACAAAAUCUCCUUCUAGAAGAUAUAGAGCAUCUAUGUGGUUCAAAUUCCCUCUUAGGAAAUCAAAAUCACCUGUCAUGCAUAGUAGAUCACCUACGUUAAGAAGAUCUCCUCGUAGAGUUAGAUCCCCAAAACGAUCUCCACACCGAUCACCUACAAGAACGAUAUCAAAAAAGAUAUCGAAAAACGAACAAUUGUCUUCAUCUAAUACUUGUACUGCUAAUAUGUAUGGCAAUGUAAAUAAGUUAUUGAAGAAAGUAAGACGUUUAGAUUCUGUAAGAAUUCGAGCACAAGAAGAAAAUAUUAAGAAUAAGGAACAUUGUUCGUCAUUGAAAGAAAAAUUAUCAAAUAUGAUAAAAGAUAUAUCACACAAUAAUGACAAUGUAACAAAUUGUACCAAAGAGAAGACAGUUACGUGUAACAUAAAUAAUGAUGCUGACGAUGAAGAGGAUUUAGCGUUAUUAAGACAAAAAGCAUUAGAAACAAAGCAAAAACGUAGCGAUAAAAACAAUGAACAAAGCAAAAUAGAACUUGAAAAUAAAACAACAUCUUAUGAUGAUGAUCAUGAUGAAGAAGAUUUAGAAUUGCGUAUGAUAGCAUUACGUUCUGCUGUAUUAAAGAAACAUCAAAAUAGAGUACAGCGUGGUAUAAAGACUAAAAAAUAUGAUAGCUCUACUAUUUCUCGUAGUAAAAGUCCAUUUACUCAAAGCUUUUUGGAUAGUAUACCUAUACCAAGUGAAAAGCGUAUUGAUACACCACCACCGGUUGCUCAAAUGCUUCCUGCUGCAAAUGAAAUUACACAUACUGAAGAUAUGGAGCUAGAUACAGAUAUUGAACAGGAAAAAGAAAAAUUGCCAUAUUCUCCAACAGACAAUAUUACUAUAGAUAUACCUAUAGAUACAGAACUUCUAGGGAUACAACCGUCUGAUGUUUCCUUUAUUAAUUUUAAUAAAAGAAUUAGUAGUCCGUCUUUCGAUAAUACAAAUAAUCAAUUGGAACAUAGAGCUUUACGAACAGGAAUUAUUGAAAACAAAAGCUAUUUAUCAAAUAUGAUGAAUAAUACAAGUACUGAAAAUACAUUUUAUGACACAAAUCCUGAUGCUCCUUACUCUCCGUCUGAUUCCAUCGAAACUAGCAAAUCUGAUGUUAUUACUACAAAACCAUGUAAUGAAUCCAUAUCUAUUUCUCAAUUUAAUGGCAUGCAUUGUAAUAUGAUAAAUGACAUAUCUACUAAUGAAUCUUGUAUUGCAAUGGAUAUUAGUACAGGUCAAGAGAGACCUUACUCGCCAACUGAUGCUCCUAUAUACGACCCUGAUUUAUCGCAAACGCUUCCAUUAAUACAAACACCUCAUUUUUCAAAUAAUUCUAAUUUAACAUCUGUACAAAUGAUGUAUGAUACUUAUGGAAAUUCGAAUAUAUUAAAUAUGCACGAAAAAUCGCAGUUGCAAUAUUUAACUAUAGGAGAGAAUGUACAUAAUAUACAAAAUAUACAUAAAGAAAAACAUAUUAACAACGUUGAGACAUUUAUCACAAGAAAACGAACUAAUUCUCCGCAUUUCUUUGAAACAGGCUCUGUAUCUCCUAAUGAUUCGAUGUUAACAAUUGAUGAUCUUCCAGAUAUGGAUACUAUUGAUUCAAAUCUACCAAUAUCUGUAUCUGCGAACUUGGAAAAUACAGAGAGUACGUUAAAUAAUCCAAUUCAUAAAAUAACAAAAAUCACUGAAGAACCACUCUACAUGCAUGGUGUUCCAGAUGUUACUAAAGAUAUAAAUAAAAUUCCUACUCUUAUCAAUAGAACUUUGGUUCCUGCUACGAUUCUAAAAUCAAAUAAACAGUUGCAACAACCAUUGCCUACAAAGAAAUAUGAGAAUCAUGUUGAACCAACAUUCAAAAGUGCAGAAAUGCAACCGAUUCCUAUUGAUUUCAAUGUCAAUACAAAAUUAAGUACUCAGUUCAAACCUAUGAAACUUACAUCCGUUAUAAAAAAACCGCAAACAAUAUUAACCACACCUGUAGCAUUCCAAAAUUGCUUAAAUGAUGAGAGUACAAGUAACAUAAUAGAGGAUGCAUUUGUUACUCCAUCCAGAGAACAUGAAACUAGUUCUUUAAAAAAUAUUUCGCCAGUAAAUUCAAAAAAGGCUGUUUUUAUUAAUAAUAUAGAUUUAGUGCCUAAGAAAAAGAAGCGUACAAGAAGAAAUAGGAGAAGAAUUAAUAAUGUUACCCAAAAUAUAAAGAUUAGAACUUCUAGUGAAAAUAUAGAGACAUUAGAGCAUGAUUUAGAUACGUCGGGAGAAAUAAAUAGAACUAUAAUGAGCACAGAAAGUGGAUUAUCAUCUAGUGAUAUUGAAAAACAAACAAAUAUAUCUAAUGCAACAGUUCUUGCUGAUUUCGAUGAUGUGAAAUUAACAAAAUUGAGUCAAGAAAGUAAUUCCUUAUUGACAUUGGAUGAGAAUUCUGUGAAAAGUAAAACUUCAUUCCCAUGUAAUGAAAUACAAAAGGAUAAUAUUGUACAACAUUCUACAAAUUUAGAGAGUAAUAUUAGUUCAUCACUUAAGAUAAUAAAUGACCACAUAGCAGCGGUCACAAGCAGAAGGCCGAGUUUAGAUGAAGAUGAGGAAGCUUUAAGAGCAAGUUUAUUAGCGUCUUUAGCAAAACGCACAAAAUCUUUAGAUACCAAUUCUUGCAAUACAUCGGUUACCACAACUGCUGCUUUAUCAUGUGUUAAUACUGUACCAUCUGUACAGAAAGCACAACAAAUGGAUACGGCAACACCACCACUUACGCAUCAAACAGUUCAAAAUAAUACUACAUUUCAUUCAUCAACACAAUCUACAUCUGCAUAUAAUUCUGGAGAUGAAAAAAAUCACACAUACACUGUGCCAGUAUCAUCCGCUGAUGUUGCAAAAGAAAAUACUAUUGGCAUUAGUACUGAUACGGCUUCUUGCUCGUCAUUAACAAAUUCUAGUAAGAAAAGACCACUUCCUUUGUUAAAAGGGCCAUCAAGAAAAUUUCUUAAAAAAGUCUUAAUUCCUGCAAGUACAAAAGUUGUAAAUAAUGCUAAAAAAUACCAAAAUUCAGUAGUUCAAAAGAAAUUAAUUUUACAAAAGGCAGUAUCUAAUUAUAAUGCUGAGAAAUUAAUAGAUAUUAAAUCAAAUGCUAGUGUAAAGCCUUGUGAAAAUAAAUGGACAGGCAAUACAAAAAUCAUAUCUUCAGAUACGCAACGUAUUGUGAUAAAUUUAGGAUCUGACACAGAGAGUGAUUCGGAACACGAACGACUCAAAACUAAUUCUAUCCCUAUGUCAAAUUCCAAUAAACUAGAAAAACGUCCGAUUUUAACUAUACCUACGACAGAGUUUGAAAAAAGUGUAGAUCAAUUUUUAAGAGAUGUUAGAAAGAAACAAGAAACUGCAGCGGCGAGCAAACAAACUAUUCCUUUACAUAACGUAACUAAAAAGAACUUGUCAUCUAUUACAUCGGCAGAAAGUAAAAUUUCUCCUACUGUUCAUACACCCUUGGCAGUACGACAUCUUCCAGUAUCGAAGCAAGAAGAGUAUCGUCGCUUGAAACAACAAAUUUUAGAACGUGAAAUACUAAAAUUACAGAGAUCAGUAGAAAUUGGUACCUCUAAAAAAACAAACAAUUUUAAUACAACAUCACAUUCCGCAACAUCCGACAGUUCAAGCAAAGAAUCAUUACCAUCAUCUAAAGAGAAUCCAAAUGUACUUGGAAAAUUUUCAAAUCUAAACCUACAGAUAUCUGUAAAAAGUAAUAAUGAAAGAAAUAUCGAAGUGAAAAAGAAUAAAGAUUCCUCGACAUCUACGACUACUUCAAAUUCUGUAGAUAAGAACAAUUCUGGGAAACAAAGCGAUGCAAAUUUGAUAUCAAAUUCCAAAAAAGCAUCUUUACAAAUUACUUUGGAUUCUAAUAUAAGAACCUCUAAUGAAGAAGCACUUAAUCCAAAUAAAAAACUGAAAACAACAGAAAGUAAUGUUGCUUCAAUAGAUACAACAAAUUCAGUAUCUGAAAAUACAAUAAGUCUACAAGAUACAGAAAAAUCUAAACUAGCAACUGCUUCAUUGAAAAUAUUAACUAAAGAUGAAGUAAAUCAUAAACUUGUUCAAAUUCAAGUGAAACAUCACGAGCCUGAUCAGGCAAUAAUAAUAGAUAAUAAGACAGAUUUAUCCGAAAGGACAGAUUCAGUACAUAAUAAAGAUAAGCAAAAUAUUGAUGUAAAUAAAGAUAACGAAGAUAAAACUUGUAUUGAACUUGGUCAGGAUCAUACCAAACAACAUAAUGAAGUGAACAAAACGAACAAUUUAAAUACCGAUUGUACUUUAAUGGAAAAAAAUGAAAGAGAUGCAAAUAUAAGUAAAAAUGAAAUAAUUACUGAUAAUAUAAAUAGUUCGAGUACGUUAAAUGUAAAUUCACCAAUAGAACAUGAAAAUGUACAGAGUAAAAAAACUAAGGAGAAGAAUCAAUUAUUAGUUACAUCAGUGCAAGACAAAGUAGAAAAUAAUACAAAUUCGAAUUUGUCGAAUAUUGAAAAUAGCAAUGAAAGUGAUUUAUUAUCUGCAUCAAAUAACACAGAAACAAAUAAAGUAACAAAUGUUGAAGAAUUAAAUGAAAGCAUAACAAAGGAUGUUACAAUAGAAUUAAAUUCUCUUGUUAAUCUUCCAAGGAUAGAACAAGUACGACAUUUAAUGGAGACAGAACAUAAAUUAGUUAUGAAAAGGUAUAUAGUCUUAGACAAUCUGGCUGAAAUGUCAGGAGAUUUACGUCAGUGGGAUAUGGAAAGAGAUUUACAAACGAAUUUUGUAGAAGAAGUUAAAAAAUUAAGAGAACAAUUAAAAGUUGCAGAAGAAAAGUUGCGAAUACAUCGUAAUAGAAUUAAUAGUAUAGGUCCAAAAGUAAUGGGUGCGCAUGAGAAAAUUAACAACGGAAGAAGAGAAUGUUUCAAAUUAUCUAGAAUUUGUAAAGUUCUAGGCACCAAAGUUGUAGGACAAGAUUAUAAAGUACCUCAGGCCGGAGCAGAUCUUUUAGAUAACAAGUUAAAAGAAGUUGCAAGUCAUACACGACAACUUUCCAAAAAGAAAGUUCCUUCCAUUCAUAUAUCUGAAGUAUCUAAAGAAGUUAUCCCGCAAAAGAAGGAGUCUGAACCUAAACCUAUAGAAAGAGAAAUACCAGCAGUUGAAAAUUUUCCUACAAGAGAACAACAGAACGACAAUCAUAAUGAGAAUAAUAAUACGAUUGCAUUGAAAGAUGAAAAUAAUAUAUCAACAUCAAAGAUCUUUCAAGAGAAUACUCAGAGAUCAUCGGAUCAAAAAGAAGACGAAGAAAGUGGAAGAGAUACUUCUUCGUGCGAAACAAAUGAUACGAUCGAGCACGAUCAUUAUUACGAUAGAACAACGACAGAAGUAGUAUCGUGCAUAGAUAAUAAUCCUGCCAGCAAAGAAGAUUGUGAUAUUACUCAGUAUAUAGAAACAGGGGAAGCAAUGUUAAAAGAUGAUUAUCAAAAAAAGAAAACUAUCGAGCCUUAUGUUUCGAUGUUAUCACAUUUGAAAGUACCAAGGAACGUGAAUCCCAAUGGAGUGCUUUGUCCAUACGAACUAAUGGGGAUUUGUAACGACGGAGAUUGUCAAUUCGUUCAUCAAUCUGUCAUGUUUUGUAGCCAUCAUAUGGACCGAAAAACAUUAGGAAAACAAGGUGGUUCUAACCUUUAAUUGCGAAUUUUAAUGAGUUAUAAAAUCAUUAUGAAUCUCAUUGUUAUUUACAUAUUUGCUAGAACGCAAUAUGUUUACGUGAUACUAUGUUGAUCCUGACGCGGUGCAUUCUGAUGAUCCAAGUAGAAGCAACGCCCGAAGAUG